rnacentral:rRNA from 1 species
CCUACGGGUGGCAGCAGUGGGGAAUAUUGGACAAUGGGGGCAACCCUGAUCCAGCCAUGCCGCGUGUGUGAAGAAGGCCCUCGGGUUGUAAAGCACUUUCAGUGAGGAAGAACGCCUGGUGGUUAAUACCCAUCAGGAAAGACAUCACUCACAGAAGAAGCACCGGCUAACUCCGUGCCAGCAGCCGCGGUAAUACGGAGGGUGCGAGCGUUAAUCGGAAUUACUGGGCGUAAAGCGCGCGUAGGUGGCUUGAUAAGCCGGUUGUGAAAGCCCCGGGCUCAACCUGGGAACGGCAUCCGGAACUGUCAAGCUAGAGUGCAGGAGAGGAAGGUAGGAUUCCCGGUGUAGCGGUGAAAUGCGUAGAGAUCGGGAGGAAUACCAGUGGCGAAGGCGGCCUUCUGGACUGACACUGACACUGAGGUGCGAAAGCGUGGGUAGCAAACAGGAUUAGAUACCCUUGUAGUC